rnacentral:rRNA from 1 species
GAUCAUGGCUCAGGAUGAACGCUGGCGGCGUGCCUAACACAUGCAAGUCGAGCGAUUCUCUUCGGAGAAGAGCGGCGGACGGGUGAGUAACGCGUGGGUAACCUGCCCUGUACACACGGAUAACAUACCGAAAGGUAUGCUAAUACGGGAUAACAUAAGAAAUUCGCAUGUUUUUCUUAUCAAAGCUCCGGCGGUACAGGAUGGACCCGCGUCUGAUUAGCUAGUUGGUGAGGUAAUGGCU